GGCACUGUGGCCGAGUGGCUAGGCAGAGGUCUGCAAAACCUUUUACAACGGUUCAAAUCCGUUCAGUGCCU
rnacentral:tRNA from 1 species